rnacentral:rRNA from 1 species
GGAAGACACCAUGAGCACACGACGGAUGCCAUGGCGCUGCGUGCCGAUGAAGGACGGGGCACCGCUCCGAAAAGCUGCGGGGAGUCGCAAGCAGGCUGUGAUCCGCAGAUCUCCGAAUGGGGCAACCCACCGCUUCGGCGGUACGAUCGCAAGAUGGAGGGCACCCGGUGAACUGAAACAUCUCAGUAGCCGGAGGAAGAGAGAACGACACCCGUAGUAGUGGCGAACGAACCGGGUGAUUGCCUAAACCGCAUCGGUGCCAAGGGGCCACCGUUGCCGAUGCGGGGUUGUAGGGCUGUUUGGGGCGCCGGCCAGCGCCCGCACGACCUAAGCUGGGAGGCGAAGCGGUCUGGAAAGCCGCACCAGAGCGCGUGAGAGUCGCGUAGCCCCCGGUGACCGUGGUGUGAACAGUUCCUGAGUACGUCCGGGCACGAAGAACCUGGGCGGAAGCUAGGGGGACCACCCUCUAAGGCAAGCUACACGCAGCGACCGAUAGCGCACAGUACCGUGAGGGAACGGUGAAAAGUACCCCGGUGAGGGGAGUGAAAUAGACCCUGAAAUCGUGUGCUUGCAUGCCGUGGGAGGGUUAGGGGCUGGCCUUGUGCCUGUCCAUGCCUGACCGCGUGCCUUUUGGAGUAUGAUCCGGCGAGUUACCUUCGGUGGCGCGGUUAAGGCAGAUACAGCUGGAGCCGCAGGGAAACCGAGUCUUAACGGGCGACAUCGUCGCCGGAGGUAGACGCGAAACCACGUGAGCUACCCAUGGCCAGGCUGAAGCGUCCCUAACAGGACGUGGAGGGCCGCACCGGUGUGGGUUACAAACCGCUCGGAUGAGCUGU